UACACUCCUACGGGAGGCAGCAGUGGGGAAUUUUGGACAAUGGGCGAAAGCCUGAUCCAGCAAUGCCGCGUGAGUGAAGAAGGCCUUCGGGUUGUAAAGCUCUUUUGUCAGGGAAGAAACGGUGAAAGCUAAUAUCUUUUGCUAAUGAUGGUACCUGAAGAAUAAGCACCGGCUAACUACGUGCCAGCAGCCGCGGUAAUACGUAGGGUGCAAGCGUUAAUCGGAAUUACUGGGCGUAAAGCGUGCGCAGGCGGUUUUGUAAGUCUGAUGUGAAAUCCCCGGGCUCAACCUGGGAAUUGCAUUGGAGACUGCAAGGCUAGAAUCUGGCAGAGGGGGGUAGAAUUCCACGUGUAGCAGUGAAAUGCGUAGAUAUGUGGAGGAACACCGAUGGCGAAGGCAGCCCCCUGGGUCAAGAUUGACGCUCAUGCACGAAAGCGUGGGGAGCAAACAGGAUUAGAUACCCGUGUAGUCCCAUG
rnacentral:rRNA from 1 species